AAAAAAGGGGAAGAAACGCGGGUCACUCACAAAGAACCAGGUCAAAAACCCAAUCUGUAUUUUGUCUCUCCCUAUUUGAAGAACGCCAUUCUCUCCUAAAAUUUCUUUCAAAAUACAGAUUCUCUCUCCCCAAGAGCAGAGGAUACUGCUCCAUCUUCUUCCCUCCCUCUCUCACACUUCCAAGGAGCAGACGGAAGAGCUCAUCGGAAGGCGAGGCAAACAGAUUGGAAGGUAAAGCUCCAUAACCUUAUUGGGUUUGUAUUCUGAGAGUUUUUGUUGAUUUUCUUGUUAUCAAUUGAGGAAAUUCUGAAGUAUAUUUGAAGAUCAUUCAUGUUUCUGGCCAGAACUUUUUGACCCAGUGAGGCACUCAAGUCAGGAUACAGAGUUUAUGCAUAUAUAUACAUAUUAUCCAAAUCCAUAUACUCCCUCCCUCUCUUCAAAAUAUAAUACUAGCAACUUAAUAAAAAUGUAAACAUCAAGGGAAUGUUCUUUAAAAAUCUAUACAUAUUAUACAUACAUAUUGUUCUUUAAAAAUCCCUCUUUUUUCGGCGGUUGCUCGUCGUGGCUGCUGGUCUGCUGGUUCCGUUGAUCGCGCACGACAUUCUUUACUUUCUCGUGGCCUAAUUUCUUUAAUCGUUGCCUAAUUCGUACAAACUCAGAAUCUGGAUGUACGAAUUUCUUUACUUUGAUUUUGUUUCUGUUUUUUUUAUAAAUAUAUUAGUUUUAAGAUGGGUAUUACUAAUUGUUUGAGAAGUUGAAUAUUUUUUGGGAAGGUUGUAAAACCCAAAAAGUGAAGGGGUUUUGGAUAGAAAUUAAGUUUAGCCCCCUCCCAAAAUGCCCCCUAAAUGGCAGCUAAAUUCUACUUGAUAUUUGGUUCUAGAAAUUUAAAUUGAGAGAUCCCACCACUUGAUAUUUGGUUCUAAAAUUUUCUGUUACUUUGGCUGCUUCUUAAAAUGUUUCUUUUACAAUUAGGGUAAGCUAGCUUAGCAUGUCCAGUCUGUUUCAUUUCUCUUUGUUGAUGAGAUAAAAUUGCACUUUAAGAUAGCUUAACAUGUCCAGUUUAUGCACUAUCACUAUACGAUUGAGGUGUCUCAUAAUGCAAAAACUUUAAACUGUCAUAACUUUACCCUCAGAUGUCCGAUUGAGGUGGUUUUUUUUUUGAAAUUGGGUAUCUUUUCGAGAUCUAUACGUCUGAAACAACCAAAGGCGGUUUCGGGCAUCAUUUUUCCCAAAAAGGGCCUAUUUUCUAAACAUUUUUAGAUUAUAUGAAUAAGGUGGAGUGUGGACACUACUUUGACUGCAAUUUUCUCAAUCAUAUAUGGGGUGGACAACUUUAAUUAUAUUUAUAGGGUCUUAUGGCUCAGAUGAUUUUUUUUCUACGGUACAAAGUUAUGUAGCAAAUAUUGACCAAGUGUUAAACACUUCGGGAAUAAUAAUUAUGGUUUGUUAUAAUUGAUACACAUGUCAUUUAUACAGAUACACGUGUCAUUUUGCUAUAAUUGUUAGUUUUUGUGACUUUGGAAUAAACUUCAUGGAUUAUCUGUCAGUUUGGAAUUAUUGUUGAUCUUUUUUAUGACUGUCUGCUGAUAGAAAGUAUUCCAGUUGGAAGAGGAGGAAUUGUAGGCAGUGUUGUUGGAUUUGGUAAAGAUGGGAUUUCUGCUGCUGUUGGCAAAGGCAGGAGUGUAACCUUUGGAAGUGUUGGCAUUGCUGGCAAUGGGGGCACUGUGACCUUAGGCAGAGGCGGAACAGAUGACAUUGUAGACAAUGCAAAGUUUGCAGCAAAUGGCAAGCCACUAGGCUAACAUGGAUCGUGCUUGAAAGUGAUAAUGCUAUGAUCAAAGAGCUGCCAUUGUUUCGACAAGUAGAAGGGAAUUAAAGAAAGGGCUACAACUUUUGGACUGAAUUUAGUAAUUUGAUAUUUCUGAUGUUUGUUUGCAAGUGAAAGAAUAACAGGGUAUUUAUGAAGAGCUAGUGUUGUAGGAAUCUAAAGAUUGGCAGUCACCUGUUUGUGUUUUGAUGAGACGUGGUUGGCUAAAUUUGGAGAAAAUUGAUUUGUUUACUCUCCAAAUGUUGACUAAUGCCCCGAGUUAUAUAGUCAGAUGUUACCUAAAGAAUGGUUUAAUUAAUGCAUGAUUUUUGAUGUGCCAUGGCAUCUACCACCAAGAAAAUAUUGCUUGAUAACUUAACUAUGUCCAAUCUCUGCUUUAUCUUGCAUUUCUUUAUAAGAUAAUAAUUGCCAGCUAUUGGACCCGUAAUUUGACCAUAAUAAAGUAGCAUCUUAGUAAAAUUAUCAGCAAAUAAUGGUUGAUUAACCAGUAAAUGUGCCUAAUAUGCCAUGUCUCUAGCCAAUCUUAAGUGCACAACGAAGUUAUGAAUGACUAAUAUAAUUGGGAAAUAAAAGUAACCAUGAUAAGUUGCUAUUGACAGGUAAUUAACAUAUUUAGAAUUACCACCUCUGUCCAGCAACUUUUUUUUUAUUUUAUAACUAAUAUUAGUGUUUCCAUAUAUAUAAGACGUACAAACAUAAUUUUUUUCAAUAAUAAAUCUU
rnacentral:lncRNA from 1 species